rnacentral:tRNA from 1 species
GGCCUGCUAGCUCAGUUGGUUAGAGCGUGGUGCUAAUAACGCCAAGGUCCUCGGUUCGACCCCGUGGUGGGCCA